CUUGAAACACGGACCAAGGAGUUUAUCGUGUACGCAAGUCAUUGGGUGAAUAAAACCCAAAGGCGAAAUAAAAGUAAAGAGUUGAGUAUAUAAAAAAAAGUUUUACUUAUUUUUAUUUCUCUCUUUAGGGAAGAUAAAAAAUUAAUUAAUAAUUUAUUAUUAAUAUAAAUUUUUUCGCACUCCCGGGGCGCUUGUUUCAUGCUUUGCAUGUCAAUGCGCACCUAGAGCGUACACGCUGAUACCCGAAAGAUGGUGAACUAUGCCUGGCCAGGACGAAGCCAGGGGAAACCCUGGUGGAGGUCCGCAGCGAUUCUGACGUGCAAAUCGAUCGUCGGAGCUGGGUAUAGGGGCGAAAGACCAAUCGAACCAUCUAGUAGCUGGUUCCCUCUGAAGUUUCCCUCAGGAUA
rnacentral:rRNA from 1 species